rnacentral:rRNA from 1 species
GAUGGACGCUGGCGGCGUGCUUAACACAUGCAAGUCGAACGGUGAAGCAGGAGCUUGCUCUUGUGGAUCAGUGGCGAACGGGUGAGUAACACGUGAGCAACCUGCCCCUGCCUCUGGGAUAAGCGCUGGAAACGGCGUCUAAUACUGGAUAUGUGAUGUGACCGCAUGGUCUGCAUCUGGAAAGAAUUUCGGUUGGGGAUGGGCUCGCGGCCUAUCAGCUUGUUGGUGAGGUAAUGGCUCACCAAGGCGUCGACGGGUAGCCGGCCUGAGAGGGUGACCGGCCACACUGGGACUGAGACACGGCCCAGACUCCUACGGGAGGCAGCAGUGGGGAAUAUUGCACAAUGGGCGGAAGCCUGAUGCAGCAACGCCGCGUGAGGGAUGACGGCCUUCGGGUUGUAAACCUCUUUUAGCAGGGAAGAAGCGAAAGUGACGGUACCUGCAGAAAAAGCACCGGCUAACUACGUGCCAGCCGCCGCAGUAA